UGGGGAAUAUUGCACAAUGGGCGCAAGCCUGAUGCAGCCAUGCCGCGUGUAUGAAGAAGGCCUUCGGGUUGUAAAGUACUUUCAGCGAGGAGGAAGGCAUUAAGGUUAAUAACCUUUGGGUGAUUUGACGUUUACUCGCAGAAGAAGCACCGGCUAACUCCGUGCCAGCAGCCGCGGUAAUACGGAGGGUGCAAGCGUUAAUCGGAAUUACUGGGCGUAAAGCGCACGCAGGCGGUCUGUCAAGUCGGAUGUGAAAUCCCCGGGCUCAACCUGGGAACUGCAUUCGAAACUGGCAGGCUAGAGUCUUGUAGAGGGGU
rnacentral:rRNA from 1 species